UGUUGAGUUUGAUCGUGGCUCAGGACGAACCCUUGCGGCGUGCCUAAUACAUGCAGAGUCGAACGCUUUUUCUUUCACCGGAGCUUGCUCCACCGAAAGAAAAAGAGUGGCGAACGGGUGAGUAACACGUGGGUAACCUGCCCAUCAGAAGGGGAUAACACUUGGAAACAGGUGCUAAUACCGUAUAACAMUAUUUUCCGCAUGGUWUAAAUUUGAAAGGCGCUUUUGCGUCACUGAUGGAUGGACCCGCGGUGCAUUAGCUAGUUGGUGAGGUAACGGCUCACCAAGGCAACGAUGCAUAGCCGACCUGAGAGGGUGAUCGGCCACAYUGGGACUGAGACACGGCCCAAACUCCUACGGGAGGCAGCAGUAGGGAAUCUUCGGCAAUGGACGAAAGUCUGACCGAGCAACGCCGCGUGAGUGAAGAAGGUUUUCGGAUCGUAAAACUCUGUUGUUAGAGAAGAACAAGGAUGAGAGUAAAAUGGUUCAUCCCUUGACGGUAUCUAACCAGAAAGCCACGGCUAACUACGUGCCAGCCGCCGCCGUAACACAAAAA
rnacentral:rRNA from 1 species